rnacentral:rRNA from 1 species
UACGGAAGGCAGCAGUGGGGAAUAUUGCACAAUGGGCGCAAGCCUGAUGCAGCCAUGCCGCGUGUAUGAAGAAGGCCUUCGGGUUGUAAAGUACUUUCAGUCGUGAGGAAGGUGUUAAGGUUAAUAACCUUAGCAAUUGACGUUAGCGACAGAAGAGGCACCGGCUAACUCCGUGCCAGCAGCCGCGGUAAUACGGAGGGUGCGAGCGUUAAUCGGAAUUACUGGGCGUAAAGGGCACGCAGGCGGUUAAUUAAGUUGGAUGUGAAAUCCCCGGGCUUAACCUGGGAAUGGCAUUCAAGACUGGUUAGCUAGAGUCUUGUAGAGGGGGUAGAAUUCCAUGUGUAGCGGUGAAAUGCGUAGAGAUGUGGAGGAAUACCGGUGGCGAAGGCGGCCCCUGGGACAAAGGCUGACGCUCAUGUGCGAAAGCGUGGGGAGCAAACAGGGAUUAGAUACC